UACGUAGGGGGCAAGCGUUGUCCGGAAUCAUUGGGCGUAAAGAGCGUGUAGGCGGCCCGGUAAGUCCGCUGUGAAAGUCCAGGGCUCAACCCUGGGAUGCCGGUGGAUACUGUCGGGCUCGAGUCCGGAAGAGGCGAGUGGAAUUCCCGGUGUAGUGGUGGAAUGCGUAGAUAUCGGGAGGAACACCAGUGGCGAAAGCGGCUCUCUGGGGGCGAUCUGACGCUGAGGCGCGAAAGCGUGGGGAGCGAACAGG
rnacentral:rRNA from 1 species